AUUGAACGCUGGCGGCAGGCCUAACACUUGCAAGUCGAGCGGAUGAAGGGAGCUUGCUCCUGGAUUCAGCGGCGGACGGGUGAGUAAUGCCUAGGAAUCUGCCUGGUAGUGGGGGAUAACGUCCGGAAACGGGCGCUAAUACCGCAUACGUCCUGAGGGAGAAAGGGGGGGAUCUUCGGACCUCACGCUAUCAGAUGAGCCUAGGUCGGAUUAGCUAGUUGGUGGGGUAAAGGCCUACCAAGGCGACGAUCCGUAACUGGUCUGAGAGGAUGAUCAGUCACACUGGAACUGAGACACGGUCCAGACUCCUACGGGAGGCAGCAGUGGGGAAUAUUGGACAAUGGGCGAAAGCCUGAUCCAGCCAUGCCGCGUGUGUGAAGAAGGUCUUCGGAUUGUAAAGCACUUUAAGUUGGGAGGAAGGGCAGUAAGUUAAUACCUUGCUGUUUUGACGUUACCAACAGAAUAAGCACCGGCUAACUUCGUG
rnacentral:rRNA from 1 species